rnacentral:lncRNA from 1 species
AUGAGGCAAGGAGUCUUUGCUUAUUUUCUGGUUUUUGUCGUUUUGUCUGGAGUAAACCCUUGCCACUGGAUGACAAGGGAAGGCGGGGGCUCUACUGUGGGAGGAGCUAUACCUACAAGAGGCAGAAGCAGGGUUAUUCCAAAGAUGCUUCUGUGGGCUUCCAUGACGAUGGAGGCCUUUCCAUCUCAGCUCCUUCAGACUGGGUCUCCGAGGGGCCCCCAUCUGCCACUCCCUCUCUCUCUGGGGCAAGGCUUGGGUGGGAUAGGAUCCUAUAGAAUAAGGUUUGGGUUGCCCCCUUUUCCUUUCCUCGGACACUUUCCACUGCUCUUGGCGGGUGCUCCUUCAUGGACGAUGGUAAUGGAAAACAGAUACUGCUCUCUGCCCCUCUGGCUUCUUCAGUUCAUUCCACUGAUUCUACAUAGGAUUGUCCUCUGUCCUUGAGGAUCCAGGUCACUGCCAGGGGCUGAAUAGAUGUCCCAGUUAUUUCCAUAUGUUAUGUCUGAGAGGCUUUGAAGGAUGCUCUUAGCUUCACAUCCUUUAGUAUCGGGAGAGUCUAUUGUGAUGAUGAUGGUGAUGGUACCCGACAUUUGGAUGACUCAGGAUAGGGCUAACCCUUCCUCCUAACCUUUACAAAAGUACGUUAUUUGCCUUCUAUCUUUGAUAUACUUGGUGGUAGAGAAAGGGAACGGAGAAGGCAAUGGCAGCCCACUCCAGUGUUCUUGCCUGGAGAAUCCCAGGGAUGGGGGAGCCUGGUGGGCUGCCGUCUGUGGGGUUGCACAGAGUCGGACGCGACAGAAGCAACUUAGCAGCAGUAGCAGCAGAAAAGGGGAAAUGCUUAAAGAUGAAGAUCCAAGUGAAGAGAAGUUAAUAAGCUGCUUGGACCGAUUGCUGAGUUGGGCACCCGGCUCUAGGACUGAAGGCAUUGGCUCUGUUCUCUGUUCUGCUUUUGCUGUCUGACCUUGGACUUGUCUCUUAGUCCCUCUCAGAUUUCCUUCCUGUAAGAGCAGCCGUCACCUGCUUCCCUCACAAGGGCAAAAAAGCGUGUAUCAGAGCAGGUCCGAGAAGCCCGUGGCUCCCGGCCAGCGAACAGGACAAACUGCUGAAGUUGGCGGUGCGGUCCCCACCACCUCUGCCUCUAGGGGACUUGCCUACUUCCUCUGGCUUCUGGAAGAGGCAAGAUUUGGAGUUGGCCUAAUGACUAAUGGGGACCGUGGUCAGGCACGUGCUCUUCUGCUGUAUUUAUAUGGCACCUGGUGUUUAGAAGCAUCACUCCUAAUUCCCCCACUUAAGUCGUUAGGCUGAUCAUCCUACCAUGAGUGUCUUAUGGAGCAGGAAGUGGGAGACAGGGAGCUGGAAGCAGCACCAAAAUGAUGAUUUAGGGCCUCUCGUUUCUUUGAGUCAUUUCCCAGAGUCUGAUGUGUUUUGAGGCUGGAGUCAGGCCAGUUCCUGAAACUAUCUUUAGGAAAGGGUCUGCUGGCCCAUAGGACACAUGUCAUGGUGGGGGCUUCAUCACAAGACUGCUUUUCCUUUAGACCACAGUUGCUCAGGACACAAGUCACCCCAAGAGCAUCUAGGCCUGAUACCGUGUCCUCAUUCUUGCUCACAGCGCCCCGUGGGAGACUCCUUCCCGCCCCCUCCCCUAGAAGGAAGGAACCCCAUCUUGAGCAUUCCUAACUCUUCAAAGUACAGAGCAGCAGGUAUUAAAGGACAGCUGUGAGUGGUACCUGCAGGGUUGGUAUGUCCAUGCGGGUGUGGCAGGCCCCUCUGUGAAUGCAGACCCUUGACCAUUUCCACGCAUGUCUCAUUUAGCCCACCUCUUUGACUCAGGUGUGUGAAGGCAGGUCAGAAACACUGUUGUCUCUAAAGAAUUUCGGGAGAGGGCAGGUGCUGCCGC